AAUCCAUGGUGUGGAUAUUUCCGAAACAAAUCUCUAAACCUUUCCUCCGCUUCAUAUAAUAAUUCACCAUCCUGUUGGCUAAAACUAGUAAUAUCCUCUAAACUU